UAGAGUUUGAUCCUGGCUCAGAGCGAACGCUGGCGGCAGGCUUAACACAUGCAAGUCGAACGGUCCUUCGGGAUAGUGGCGGACGGGUGAGUAACACGUGGGGAACGUACCCUUAGGUUCGGAACAACACAGGGAAACUUGUGCUAAUACCGGAUAAGCCCUUCGGGGGAAAGAUUUAUCGCCUUUGGAGCGGCCCGCGUCUGAUUAGCUUGUUGGUGAGGUAAUGGCUCACCAAGGCUACGAUCAGUAGCUGGUCUGAGAGGAUGGCCAGCCACACUGGGACUGAGACACGGCCCAGACUCCUACGGGAGGCAGCAGUGGGGAAUCUUGCGCAAUGGGCGAAAGCCUGACGCAGCCAUGCCGCGUGGAUGAUGAAGGUCUUAGGAUUGUAAAAUCCUUUCACCGGGGACGAUAAUGACGGUACCCGGAGAAGAAGCCCCGGCUAACUUCGUGCCAGCAGCCGCGGUAAUACGAAGGGGGCUAGCGUUGCUCGGAAUUACUGGGCGUAAAGGGCGCGUAGGCGGACAGUUAAGUUGGGGGUGAAAGCCCGGGGCUCAACCUCGGAAAUGCCUUCAAUACUGGCUGUCUUGAGUACGGGAGAGGUGAGUGGAACUCCGAGUGUAGAGGUGAAAUUCGUAGAUAUUCGGAAGAACCACCCAGUGGCGAAGGCGACUCCACUGGCCCGUUACUGACGCUGAGGCGCGAAAGCNGUGGGGAGCAAACAGGAUUAGAUACCCUGGUAGUCCACGCCGUAAACGAUGAGUGCUAGUUGUCGGCAUGCAUGCAUGUCGGUGACGCAGCUAACGCAUUAAGCACUCCGCCUGGGGAGUACGGUCGCAAGAUUAAAACUCAAAGGAAUUGACNGGGGGCCCGCACAAGCGGUGGAGCAUGUGGUUUAAUUCGAACCACCGCGCAAAACCUUACCACCUUUUGACAUGCCCCGNACCCCCACAAANAUGUGGCUUUCCNUUCGGGAACUGGGGCACANGUGCUGCAUGGCUGUCCUCACCUCNUGUCCNGAAAUUUUGGGUUAANUCCCCCAACNAGCCCAACCCUNCCUGUUAAUUGCUACNAGGUUUGGCUGGNCCUCUAACAGGACCCCCGGUGGUAACCCGAAAAAA
rnacentral:rRNA from 1 species